rnacentral:rRNA from 1 species
UUCCGGUUGAUCCUGCCGGACCCGACCGCUAUCGGGGUGGGGCUAACCCAUGGGAGUCUAGGAGCCGGGGCAACGGCCGGCUCCGGCGGACGGCUCAGUAGCACGUGGCUAACCUACCCUCGGGAGGGGGAUAACCCCGGGAAACUGGGGAUAAUACCCCAUAGGCGCAGGCUCCUGGAAUGGGCCUGCGCCGAAAGGGGUGCAGCGCCAUGCCCGCUGCACCCGCCCGAGGAUGGGGCUGCGCCCUAUCAGGUAGUUGGCGGGGUAACGGCCCGCCAAGCCGAAGACGGGUGGGGGCCGUGAGAGCGGGAGCCCCGAGUUGGGCACUGAGACAAGGGCCCAGGCCCUACGGGGCGCACCAGGGGCGAAACUUCCGCAAUGCGGGAAACCGUGACGGAGUCACCCCGAGUGCCGCCCGAUGAGGGCGGCUUUUCCCCGGUCUAAAAAGCCGGGGGAAUAAGCGGGGGGCAAGCCUGGUGUCAGCCGCCGCGGUAAAACCAGC